AGGUUUGCGCUGUGGCAGUAUCGUAGCCAAUGAGGUUUAUCCGAGGCGCGGUUCUUGCUAAUUUAAAACUUUUCCCAAUGCCCCGCCGUGACGACUUGCAAUACAGUCGGCACUGGCCAUUUUCGACAGUGUCUACGGAGA
ensembl:snRNA U4 U4 spliceosomal RNA